AUGUGUAGUAAUUUGUGUAUGCAUUCUAGCUUGGACUGGCAGCAUGGACUGGAAAAUUGUCCCAACCAUCUUGGACACACCCCAGGCAGGUGCUGCCAGCUGCCAUGGCCGAGGCAUGAGGUUCGACGUGGUGAUCAAGGAGGUGCAGGGUAUGCUCUUGUAAUUAGUAUGAUGAUUUCCACAUGCUUAAAUGCUACUCUAUUAUGUUUUUGCAUAACAAUCUUGAGAUUAUGUAUUGAAAUAUUCAUAGUGAUUCAUCCAGUUAAGUUGAGCUUAAUAUGUUUGUCUCCUGCUCUCAGCUAA
rnacentral:rRNA from 1 species